GACGAACGCUGGCGGCGUGCUUAACACAUGCAAGUCGAGCGGUAAGGCCCUUUCGGGGGUACACGAGCGGCGAACGGGUGAGUAACACGUGGGUGACCUGCCCUCAGCUCUGGGAUAAGCCUGGGAAACCGGGUCUAAUACUGGAUAUGACUCCAUGACGCAUGUUGUGGGGUGGAAAGCCUUGUGCGGCUGAGGAUGGGCCCGCGGCCUAUCAGCUUGUUGGUGGGGUGANGGCCUACCAAGGCGACGACGGGUAGCCGGCCUGAGGAGGGCGACCGGCCACACUGGGACUGAGACACGGCCCAGACUCCUACGGGAGGCAGCAGGUGGGGAAUCUUGCGCAAUGGGCGAAAGCCUGACGCAGCGACGCCGCGUGAGGGAUGACGGCCUCGGUU
rnacentral:rRNA from 1 species